UCUAACGCAUGGCCCGGAAGCGCGGUAAUGCGUGGGGUGUCAGCGUGAAUCGGAAUUACUUGGCGUAAAGCUCACUCAUGCUGGCUGUUAAGUCAGAGGUGAAAUCCCCGGGCUUAACCUGGGAACUGCAUUUGAAACUGGCAGGCUUUAGUCUCGUAGAGGGGGGUAGAAUUCCAGGUGUAGCGGUGAAAUGCGUAGAGAUCUGGAGGAAUACCGGUGGCGAAGGCGGCCCCCUGGACGAAGACUGACGCUCAGGUGCGAAAGCGUGGGGAGCAAACAGGAUUAGAUACCCUAGUAGUC
rnacentral:rRNA from 1 species